CAAGCAGAAGACGGCAUACGAGAUGUGACUGGAGUUCAGACGUGUGCUCUUCCGAUCUCUCCACCCAGACUCAUCCAUCUGCACCCUCAUAGAGAGUUUCUGUUGGUGCCGACAUUGCCCUAUACGACCGUACCGCAAACCGACACUGGUGCGCGAGAUGAGUAUUCUAAGGCGCUUGAGAGAACUCAGGAGAAGGAACUCGGCAAAUUGACACCGUAACUUCGGAAGAAGGUGUGCCCUAUUAGUGUGUAGUGAACAACGAAGCAUGAAUGGGUUGCAAAAAAUCGGUGGCUGCGACUGUUUAUUAAAAACACAGCACUCUGCAAACACGAAAGUGGACGUAUAGGGUGUGACGCCUGCCCGGUGCUGGAAGAUUAAAUGAUGGGGUGCAAGCUCUUGAUUGAAGUCCCAGUAAACGGCGGCCGUAACAAUAACGGUCCUAAGGUAGCGAAAUUCCUUGUCGGGUAAGUUCCGACCUGCACGAAUGGCGUAACGAUGGCCACACUGUCUCCUCCUGAGACUCAGCGAAGUUGAAAUGUUUGUGAUGAUGCAAUCUCCCCGCGGAAAGACGGAAAGACCCCAUGAACCUUUACUGUAGCUUUGUAUUGGACUUUGAACAGAUCUGUGUAGGAUAGGUGGGAGGCUUUGAAGCAGGGUCGCUAGAUCUUGUGGAGCCAACGUUGAAAUACCACCCUGGUGUGUUUGAGGUUCUAACCUAGGUCCAUUAUCUGGAUCGGGGACAGUGCAUGGUAGUCAGUUUGACUGGGGCGGUCUCCUCCCAAAGCGUAACGGAGGAGUUCGAAGGUACGCUAGUUACGGUCGGACAUCGUGACGAUAGUGCAAUGGCAUAAGCGUGCUUAACUGCGAGACUGACAAGUCGAGCAGAUGCGAAAGCAGGACAUAGUGAUCCGGUGGUUCUGUAUGGAAGGGCCAUCGCUCAACGGAUAAAAGGUACUCUCUGGAUAACAGGCUGAUACCGCCCAAGAGUUCAUAUCGACGGCGGUGUUUGGCACCUCGAUGUCGGCUCAUCUCAUCCUGGGGCUGUAGCCGGUCCCAAGGGUAUGGCUGUUCGCCAUUUAAAGAGGUACGUGAGCUGGGUUUAAAACGUCGUGAGACAGUUUGGUCCCUAUCUUCCGUGGGCGCUGCGGAUUUGAGGAAGCCUGCUCCUAGUACGAGAGGACCGGAGUGGACACACCUCUGGUGUAUCGGUUGUCACGCCAGUGGCAUUGCCGAGUAGCUAAGUGUGGAAGAGAUAACCGCUGAAAGCAUCUAAGCGGGAAACUCGUUUCAAGAUGAGAUCUGCCGGGGCCUUGAGCCCCCUAAAGAGUCGUUCAAGACCAGGACGUCGAUAGGUCAGGUGUGGAAGCCAAAAA
rnacentral:rRNA from 1 species